UAACAGCAAACCUCUGUUUCUCUCUGUCUCUGUCUCUGUCUCUGCUUCUUCUCCAAUCUCGAUUGAUGUUUGUUUAGGUAUGUCUCAGAUUCUUACCAUUCUUUUACUUCCUCUGUCUCGCUCCUCGCACUACUCUUUAGUCUCUGUUUUCUGCCUUGCCUGUUUUUGUCUCGUUGUCUCUUCGGUAACUAUGCACACCAGCUAUUCGAUUAAACGCCGCUAACAAAACCCACUUCGAUUUCGUAAUCAUGUUCUAAAAGAAUAAUAGAUCUAUAGAGAAAUUCAACCAAACCCAGUUUGUUUUCUAAAAAAAAAUAACUGUUUUAUUUUUUAAUUCAAAGCUUGUGUGAUAAAUAAAUAUAAAUAAAGAAAUUGUUUUGAAAAAUACAAGCUGCAAUCUUUCUCAUGUUCUUUACAUCAUCAAACCUUCCAUUACCAUCAAAAAUUAAUAUACAUGAAAAUAAUGGUUUAACAUAUGCAUAAUGCAUUUGACAAGAAAAAAAAAAUCAAGUGUAUAUUUUUACUUUAUGCAAGUAUGUGUGAUGAAAGUAUAAAAAAAGGCACACAAGUUACAUUACAUCGUCUCUUCUUUGGCUUCUUCUCUGUUUACAUCGUUAAGCCAGUCCACAACUUGUUGGAUGUUUGGUCUUCUCAUAGGGUUCUGGUUCACACACAUGCAGGCUAUAUCAAGAACACGUAUCAUCUCUCUUUCAUCACUACCCUUCUCUCUCAGCAACGGAUCAAAGACCUCCUCAAGUGUCCCAUCCUUCCUCAUUUGAUGCACCCACGCCACUAUCUCUCUCGACACCU
rnacentral:lncRNA from 1 species